UACGUAGGGGGCUAGCGUUGUCCGGAAUCAUUGGGCGUAAAGCGCGCGUAGGCGGCCAGAUAAGUCCGGUGUGAAAGCCACAGGCUCAACCUGUGAAUGCCGCUGGAAACUGUCUGGCUAGAGUCCGGGAGGGGCGAGUGGAAUUCCUGGUGUAGCGGUGAAAUGCGCAGAUAUCAGGAGGAACACCAAUGGCGAAGGCAGCUCGCUGGAACGGAACUGACGCUGAGGCGCGAAAAGCGUGGGGAGCGAACAGG
rnacentral:rRNA from 1 species